UGGGGAAUAUUGGACAAUGGGCGAAAGCCCGAUCCAGCCAUGCCGCGUGUGUGAAGAAGGUCUUCGGAUUGUAAAGCACUUUAAGUUGGGAGGAAGGGUUGUAGAUUAAUACUCUGCAAUUUUGACGUUACCGACAGAAUAAGCACCGGCUAACUCUGUGCCAGCAGCCGCGGUAAUACAGAGGGUGCAAGCGUUAAUCGGAAUUACUGGGCGUAAAGCGCGCGUAGGUGGUUUGUUAAGUUGGAUGUGAAAUCCCCGGGCUCAACCUGGGAACUGCAUCCAAAACUGGCAAGCUAGAGUAUGGUAGAGGGUGGUGGAAUUUCCUGUGUAGCGGUGAAAUGCGUAGAUAUAGGAAGGAACACCAGUGGCGAAGGCGACCACCUGGACUGAUACUGACACUGAGGUGCGAAAGCGUGGGGAGCAAACAGGAUUAGAUACCCAGGUAGUCCCUGAGCGGGCUGGCAAGGCGCAU
rnacentral:rRNA from 1 species